rnacentral:rRNA from 1 species
UACGAAGGGGGCUAGCGUUGCUCGGAAUCACUGGGCGUAAAGGGCGCGUAGGCGGCCGUUCAAGUCGGGGGUGAAAGCCUGUGGCUCAACCACAGAAUUGCCUUCGAUACUGUUUGGCUUGAGUAUGGUAGAGGUCAGUGGAACUGCGAGUGUAGAGGUGAAAUUCGUAGAUAUUCGCAAGAACACCAGUGGCGAAGGCGGCUGACUGGACCAUUACUGACGCUGAGGCGCGAAAGCGUGGGGAGCAAACAGG